CGCCGCUAGACUGCGCACGCGCGCCGCCGCCGCCGCCGAGCACUUGCCUUCGCGAAGGCCCAGUUUCCAAUAAAUGUGUCCUGCACGCCAUGCCGUCUGUUUCCAGGACAACCCCGGUGCCUCUUAGCAACCGCGCGUGCUGUCUGGGUCCUUUCCUGGCGCCCCCAGCCCUCCCAUGGCGGCCCCGGGUCCCAGUGUCUUCCUGCUUAUGGUCAACGGGCAGGUGGAGAGCGCCCAGUUUCCUGAGUACGAUGACCUCUACUGCAAGUACUGCUUUGUGUAUGGCCAGGACUGGGCUCCCACAGCGGGUCUGGAGGAGGGCAUUUCCCAGAUCACAUCCAAGAGCCAAGAUGUGCGGCAAGCGCUGGUGUGGAACUUCCCCAUCGACGUCACCUUCAAAAGCACCAACCCGUAUGGCUGGCCACAGAUUGUGCUCAGCGUGUACGGACCGGACGUGUUUGGGAAUGAUGUGGUACGAGGCUACGGGGCAGUGCAUGUGCCUUUCUCACCCGGCAGGCACAAAAAGACCAUCCCCAUGUUUGUCCCAGAAUCCACGUCUAAAUUGCAGAAGUUUACAAGGAAGGAGAAUUCUUUUAGGAGCUGCACAGAGAGGCCUCCCCCCGACCCGCCUCCACCUCCACAGCCCAGAGGACAGGCCUGAAAACCUCCCAGGUGGGAAGCUGCUGGAAUCCCAGCAUUCUGGUCUCACAGCAGGAGAGGAAGGUCCUGGCCUUUGCCAUACUCUCCAGCAUCAGGACACCUCCUGCAUCUCUGCCUGGAAAGGGGUUUCUCCUUCAGUUGGUGCACCUCCUCUGAGCACAGGUCCUGAGAAGGGACGGGCCCUCCGUCCCGUCAGCUAUGCCACAGUAAAGUGCACGAGCCACCCAAGAACUAUCUCGAAUGACCAGGUUGGCUGGGCAGCUCCUCAAGGAACAGCCCUCUGGGCACAGGCACAGAAGAGGAAGCAGAGGCGGGCAGGCACUGAAGACGCGGCCUGGAACUGUCAUUGUCCCUCAUUCUAAGCGUCUCGUGGCUAUGCCCGAAGUCCACAGAUGAAGUGCCACCAACGACCCCACCAAUGACAAGGCCACAGUGAGAGAGAUGAGUAUUUUUAAGUCUGCAACGUGUCUGGAGUUGGCAGCUGAGUGGGCCAGGGAUCCCCCAGGGAGCCACAGGCACAGAAGCACCGCCGCUCUCCAGCGCCCGCCAUCUCCGUGCUAUCCCCACCUUCCCCUGAGAGUGGAUUGGGACAGAGGAAGUCAGACACACGGCUC